CAACUCCAGAUUUUAGCCGAAGUUGACCGUUGCAUCACUACCAUGGGUCCUCCUCUGCAUAACCCUCCUUCAACCCGAACAAGCAUCUCAAAGAACAAUUCGUGAGCAAUUUAAGUGGAUCCUCUAUGCUCGAAAUCGCGGCGCUUACGAUCUCUAUCCCCAUUCUGGUCAUUAUUCGUCCGUCCAUCACCUCCAUUUCCAC